rnacentral:rRNA from 1 species
UACGUAGGGGGCAAGCGUUGUCCGGAUUUAUUGGGCGUAAAGAGCGUGUAGGCGGUCUGGUAGGUCCGUUGUGAAAACUCGAGGCUCAACCUCGAGACGCCGAUGGAAACCAUCAGACUAGAGUCCGGAAGAGGAGAGUGGAAUUCCUAGUGUAGCGGUGAAAUGCGUAGAUAUCAGGAGGAAUACCGAUGGCGAAGGCAGGUCUCUGGGCUGACACUGACGCUCAUGCACGAAAGCGUGGGGAGCAAACAGG